GGUCAAGUGACCAAGCGCAUAUGGUGGAUGCCUUGGCGACAACAGGCGAUGAAGGACGUGGCAGCCUGCGAAAAGCCUCGGGGAGCUGGCAAGCAAGCUUUGAUCCGGGGAUGUCCGAAUGGGGAAACCCGACUUGGGUAACCAAGUCAUCGAUAUCUGAAUCCAUAGGGUAUCGAAGCAAACCCGGGGAACUGAAACAUCCAAGUACCCGGAGGAAAAGAAAUCAACCGAUAUUCCCUGAGUAGUGGCGAGCGAAAAGGGAACAGCCCAGCACGAUUUAGCAUGCCAAUCUAGCGGAACGGUCUGGAAAGUCCGGCCAUAGAGGGUGAUAGCCCCUUACGCGAAAGAUGGUAUGUGGAACUAGGCGUGCGAAAGAGUAGGGCGGGACACGUGUUAUCCUGUCUGAAGAUGGGGGGACCAUCCUCCAAGGCUAAAUACUCGUUGUCGACCGAUAGUGAACCAGUACCGUGAGGGAAAGGUGAAAAGAACCCCUGUUAGGGGAGUGAAAUAGAACCUGAAACCGUAUGCGUACAAGCAGUGGGAGCCCGCUUCGGCGGGUGACUGCGUACCUUUUGUAUAAUGGGUCAGCGACUUGCUUCUCAGUGGCGAGCUUAACCGUUUAGGGUAGGCGCAGGGAAACCAAGUCUUAAUAGGGCGAUUUCAGUCGCUGGGAGCAGACCCGAAACCGGGCGAUCUACCCAUGGCCAGGGUGAAGGUGCGGUAACACGCACUGGAGGCCCGAACCGUAAGAUGUUGAAAAAUCUUCGGAUGAGCUGUGGGUCGGAGUGAAAGGCUAAUCAAGCCCGGAGAUAGCUGGUUCUCCCCGAAAGCUAUUUAGGUAGCGCCUCGUGUAUCACUCUUGGGGGUAGAGCACUGUUUCGGCUAGGGGGCCAUCCCGGCUUACCAAACCGAUGCAAACUCCGAAUACCGAGAAGUGCAAUCACGGGAGACAGACGGCGGGUGCUAACGUUCGUCGUCAAAAGGGAAACAACCCAGACCGCCAGCUAAGGUCCCCAAAUCAUGACUAAGUGGGAAACGAUGUGGGAAGGCAUAGACAGCCAGGAGGUUGGCUUAGAAGCAGCCAUCCUUUAAAGAAAGCGUAAUAGCUCACUGGUCAAGUCGGCCUGCGCGGAAGAUUCAACGGGGCUCAAGUCAUGUACCGAAGCUGCGGAUGCAUGCUCGCAUGCAUGGUAGGGGAGCGUUCCGUAAGCCUGCGAAGGUGUGUCGUGAGGCAUGCUGGAGGUAUCGGAAGUGCGAAUGCUGACAUGAGUAACGAUAAAGCGGGUGAAAAACCCGCUCGCCGAAAGCCCAAGGGUUCCUGCGCAACGCUAAUCGGCGCAGGGUGAGUCGGCCCCUAAGGCGAGGCCGAAAGGCGUAGUCGAUGGGAAACAGGUUAAUAUUCCUGUACCUCUUAUUACUGCGAUGGGGAGACGGAGAAGGCUAGGCCAUCCGGGUGUCGGAUGUCCCGGUUCAAGCGUGAAGGGAGUCGCUCCAGGAAAAUCCGGUGCGGCAAUCCCAAGGCGUGAUGUCGAGGUCUUCCUUCGGGUUGACCGAAGUGGUUGAUGCCAUGCUUCCAAGAAAAUCCUCUAAGCUUCAGGUAAUAAGAGACCGUACUCGAAACCGACACAGGUGGGCAGGGUGAGAAUCCCAAGGCGCUUGAGAGAACCCUCGUGAAGGAACUAGGCAAAAUAGCACCGUAACUUCGGGAGAAGGUGUGCCUUUGUUGGUGAAGAGACUUGCUCUCGGAGCCGAUGGGGGCCGCAGUGACCAGGUGGCUGCGACUGUUUACUAAAAACACAGCACUCUGCAAACUCGAAAGAGGAAGUAUUUGUAUAUAAUGCUGGAACAAGCACUAAAGAUCAUAAAGAACUUAUAGUGCAUACGUUUAGGUAACAUCAAAACAUAGGGAAUUUUUUUGUUAUAGUGUUAUACAGAAAAGCAGUAGCUACAUGGAAGUCUGGAACCAGAAGAUUUAAUCAUUGGGAAAUUAAAGAAAUUGAAGUGAAUAUACAAAUAUAUAAUGUCUAAAUUUAAUUAUACAAUAGGUUGAAACAAUUGAUGCAAUUGUAGCUAUAUGUAAAGUAAACUAAUGCCAUGAAGCAUGCUUAAAUUUAUUUAAAAAUUUAUCAAUAUUUUUUCA
rnacentral:rRNA from 1 species